rnacentral:snoRNA from 1 species
GCAUAGUCAUAGAUUUGUGGUGAGUCUUCCAUGUGGGUGACUUGUAGUUUAUCUUGCCAAAACAAAUGGCAGCUUCCAGUCUUUGCCCAACCACAUACCAGUGGGAUGUGAGCACUGAAGGGACUUAUAGAGUU